rnacentral:rRNA from 1 species
UACGAAGGGGGCUAGCGUUGCUCGGAAUCACUGGGCGUAAAGGGCGCGUAGGCGGAUCUUUAAGUCGGGGGUGAAAGCCCAGGGCUCAACCCUGGAAUUGCCUUCGAUACUGAAGAUCUCGAGACCGGAAGAGGUAAGUGGAACUGCGAGUGUAGAGGUGAAAUUCGUAGAUAUUCGCAAGAACACCAGUGGCGAAGGCGGCUUACUGGUCCGGUUCUGACGCUGAGGUGCGAAAGCGUGGGGAGCAAACAGG